CCCUUGUCUCGAGUUCGUGUGUGCUUGUGUGUGUGUGUGUGUGUGUGUGUGUGUGCGCGCGCGCGCGCACGCGCUCGCGAGUGCGUGCCCUUGUGUGUGCGUGUGUCCUGUUUACCUGUAUGUCUGAGAUGGAGUCUCACCAUGUAGCCCAGGCUAGCCAAACCCUUAGCAAUUUUCCUUCUUCCUAAGUGCUGUGAUCACAGAUGCUCCCCACUAUGUCCAGCUGUGACACUGUUUGCUUUGAUUCUUUUAUUUGGGGAGCAGUAAGGUCUCCUGGCGCCCAGGUUGACUUCGAACCGUCAAUGUGUUUGAAAAUGACCCCAACCUUCUGAUCCUCCUGCGUCCACCAUCUGAAUGUCCAGACUGCAGCCCCAACAGAUACAAUUACAACACACAACUCCUGCACAUAAGGCUCAGGCAAUGUCUUGGGAGAAAGCAGAAGGACUGUGAUAGUCAAAGGACCAGGAAAUCUGCUGUGAGAUUGUGUCUUCUAGCUGUGACAUGAAGCUAUACCUGAGGCCUCAACAGCAUGGCUGCCUAAACAAGACCAGAACAAUUUCUACACCAGCUGACAUCCUAAAGUAGAUGGAGAAAUCUCAGAGGCCGAAAGCCCUAGAUGAAGAGCCACAGCCAACUAACAACUUGGGAGAGAGGGAGAACUAGUCUCCAGGGACGAUCCCCUGAUUGGUUAUCCAGUAGCAGCAAGUGGUCAGCCUUGGAUACACAGGCAUGCAGCCACACUGCCCAAACUCCAAAGGAAUGGAAUAGAGAGCUGGAGAGACGAAUCAGCAGUUAACAGCACCGGCUGCACUUUCAGAGAACAAGAGUUUGCUCCCAGCACCUGACGGCAUGUAACACAGCUCCGGAUUGAGGGAACAAAUAUUAAAAUUAAUAAAAGUUUAAAAAUUUAGGCCCUGAAAAGGGAGCGUGUAAUGGAAAAGGAAAAAUUUAACUCUUUAAAUCAGGAGUGCCAUGGCUGGCGCCUGAUCCCCUGCUCUCAGACAAGGAGAGGUAACUGUUCACCACUCUUGUUAACAUUCCUUUGCUAAUUGCUGGUCAAAAGAUCCCCCAGCCCAGGGGAUAACUGACAGACCUUGUGACCCUGUAACCCUGCAAGCCCAUGCCCUGUCUUAUCUCAGUCAAACGUAUCUCCCUUAAAAUGUAUAGUUACUAACUCUGUACUUGGUAUGACCUUAAUUAACCAUGGAAACUGUAAUUUGUGGCCUUCAACCUUACGGUCUGCCACUUUAAAAGCUUCUCUUUUUGGCUGGGUGGCAUCUCAUUUGCCCGCCAUGCAGUGAGAUCCUAGCUGGCCAGCUUGAAAUAAAA
rnacentral:lncRNA from 1 species